rnacentral:piRNA from 1 species
UUAACUUCUAUCUGCCUCAUUCAGAAAGGG